rnacentral:tRNA from 1 species
GUAUGUAGCUCAGUGGUAAAGUACUUGGCUUAGCAUGCAUGAGGCCCUGAGUUCAAUUCCCAGGACUACA